UUCAUGCUUCAGAUACAAUGGGCGUGGAUCCAAUUGUAUACGUUUAAAUUUACAGUGAGAUACGUGUAAUGGACAAGAGGAAUAAAACUAUUUAAUUGUCUUCAUAAUUUUGUUGUUGAAAAAUAGCACAGAAUAAAUAAAUAAAUAUUUAUAAUAUAAAUAUUGAAUAAAAGUAAUUUUAAAACAAUUGAAAAAAAUAAAAUUAUAUAUUCGUAUAAUAAAUUUAUGUCAACCAAUUAAGAUAAUUAAAUAUACGUAAAGAACAAAGCCGAAGAGGCACAAUUACAGUCGUCUGAUCUGAGCAAUUUAUGGAUCAUUUAAGCUGAAAUUUUAGAGGUGGCAAUUUUCUAAAAUAUACAAGCUCAACACUUCGGAUACUAGUAUUCGCUUUAUAAUAAUUAUAAUAUUACAAACAACCUUGGCUUAAUUCCAGGAUGGAAGAUACUGCAUAUUGUGUUUUUUUUUUGCCUCAAUAUAUUGGUUUUUACUGGUACAAUGUAACCUAGGGAAAACCACACACGUAUACCAAAUUCUGAAACCAAACGCGUAAGUAUAGGAUAAAAAAAAUUAUAGCCCGAAGUAUUUGGUGGGUGAGUAUUUAAUCAUUAAACACUGAGAGAACAGGUUUGCAUCCUAGAUUUAUUUUGAAAUUAAAUAUCUCUAUAACACCCAGUCAAUGGAUUUGAGUGCAGUGGGUUAAAAAUUUACAACUAUUAUUGUGUUAUAACUAUUAAUAGUCACGAUCUCUAAUGUAUUUAUACCUGAAUAUUAAAUGUAUAUAGAAUAUAGUCAUUUCACAGAACAACCGAGCCUGGGUUACUAUUAUACAGUAUAUAAACCAAUUUUAGGUCACCCGAGUCAGAUGACCGACUGCUAUCUGUUUUUGUCCGUCGUUUUUCAUCGUAUUUUUUUCGACGACCAUCGGUUGUAAACUUUUAAACAACCUCUUGAUCCACUGAACUAUUUUCAACAAAUUUUGGCAUAUGACAUCUAUGAAUGAAGGGGAGCAAAAAUAUUUUGAAAUUCAUAACCCACCCCCCCACCACCACCACUGGGGCGUGUGAGAUGGGGCUACAACCAUAAAAAUUAACGGAAUAUUUUUUUU